CAUUGAGCGAGGGAAUUGGUGUAGGGAGCAAACUGUACGAUAAGCAGCGUAGCGGGCAGGCUCAAUGUAGCCAUUAUUACCUUGGCGGCUAAUGAGAAGCAAGCUAAUGGGCGUUGAGAGAACGCCUACCGCCCUCCUCCCUUUGUGAAUGUCACACGCACAGUCACACGUCGAAGCCUCUCUCUGUACCACUACAAGAAAUGAUAUGUGUGAGGAGACAUUUAUUCAACGCUUUGUCGGUUGGCCUUUGGAAGAUUACAUCAGAUCCUAUUUAUACGUACACCGGUAUCAUAAUGAAAACCACACUGUCACCUUUAUAUCCAGAAGAUAUUGACUACGCAGUGAGUAAGGCAUUGGAGCCGUCUCCCUUCAUCGCCGGUGAUGACGGGGAGGCACGAAAGUGUGAUGGCCACCAAGACAAGUUUCAAUUUACACAGCCGUCCGUUAGCUUGGACGUCUUCCUCCACCAAGGCGAUAACCCACUGCUGCACGUGCCACCAUCGUGACCGGAUCUCUGUGGAAACACCUCCUCCUAGGGGCCGUGGACCGGAGCUCUCCGGUGGGACCAGAGCUCUCCGGAUCUCGGUUCCGAAACUCUGCUGAGAAGCUCGGGAUAUCGACCAUACUAAACCCGACAUUGUGACUGCCUCUUAAUAAUGAGAAGUAAAAAAAAAAAAACUCAAACACGAAUUGGUCUUGUCCAAUUUAAAUUGUCUAAGUUCUCAACGGUUAUUUAAAAAAAAAAUAACGACCGCAACAUAACGUUAUGACAGCCUCUUUGGGAGUCUUAAUCACAUAUUACUCAGUUAAUCACCUCCCACACAGCAAGGUCCAUAAACAUUGUCUUGGACCACCUGAUAUCCUGGACAUUUGCCAAUGUUUCUUUUAUUUCUUUUAUCUUUAUUUAUUACAUAUUUCUUUAUUUAUCACAUAGUCCUAUUUCUUGGCCUCCACUUGACAACAUUCCAGCUGUUUUACCCCCGCUCAGCCGUCAAAUAAUAGACGGGCACACUCCUCAGCCAAUGGCGGAGCGCUGCCCGGUGUCUGCUCGCU
ensembl:lncRNA